CAGCAUAUCCAGGAAUUGGUAAAAGAGCAAUUGGCUUUGGGCCAUAUUGAGCCCUCUAAUAGUCCAUGGAAUACCCCAAUCUUUUUAUCCAGAAAAAAGGCAAAAGGCAAGUAGAGAUUACUUCAGGACUUGCGAGCCAUAAAUGAAACUAUGCAAAAGAUGGGCACCACUCAUCCCAGGCUUCCAUUAACCCAAUGUGUUCCAAAAGGCUACAAAAUUCGUAUAGCAGACAUAAAGGAUUGUUUCUUCUCCAUUCCACUGCAUCCAGCUGAUAGAAAACGUUUUGCAUUUAC
rnacentral:sRNA from 1 species